UAAAAUUAUUUUUAAUAGUAUAUUAGAAAUGAAAUGUUAUUCGUUUUUAAAGGUAUCUAGUUCUUUAAGAAAUAAAUUUAAUUUAGAAAUUUUAGAUUAUUUAGUUUAAUUAAUUAAUUAAUUAAUUUUUUAAUUUUAAUAUUUUAUGGGAUAAGCUAUAAAAUAAAUUUUUAAAAAUUUAUAAAUAUAUUAAUAAAUAUAAGCUUAUAAAUAGCUAUUAUUAAUAAAAUUGUUAUAAUUUAUUUUGUAAAUUAUAUUAUUUAUUUUAAUUUUAAUUAUUUAUUAAAGUAUUUAUUUUAAUUAUAAAAAUAAAAAAAUAAUGAUAAAAUUAGUAUAUUUUAUUUAUAUAAAUAAAAAUUGAUGAAAAGUUUUUAUAAAGAAUUCGGCAAAAAUAAUAUUCGCCUGUUUAACAAAAACAUGUCUUUUUGAUUUAUUUUUAAAAAGUCUAACCUGCCCACUGAAAUUAUUUUAAAUGGCCGCAGUAUAUUAACUGUGCAAAGGUAGCAUAAUCAUUAGUCUUUUAAUUGAAGGCUAGAAUGAAUGGUUGGACGAAAUAUUAACUGUUUCAUAUAAAUUUUUAUUAGAAUUUUAUUUUUUAGUUAAAAAGCUAAAAUUUAUUUAAAAGACGAGAAGACCCUAUAAAUCUUUAUAUUUAAAUUAUUAUGAAAAUUAAGAUUUAUUUUAUUAUAAUAAUUAAUAAUAUUUUAUUGGGGUGAUAUUAAAAUUUAAUAAACUUUUAAUUAUUUUUAUCAUUAAUUUAUGAAUUAUUGAUCCUUUCUUAAUGAUUAAAAAAAUAAGUUACUUUAGGGAUAACAGCGUAAUUUUUUUGGAGAGUUCUUAUCAAUAAAAAAGAUUGCGACCUCGAUGUUGGAUUAAGAUAUAUUUUAGGUGUAGUUGCUUAAAUUUUAAGUCUGU
rnacentral:rRNA from 1 species